UUCCGAUCCCUUCUCUGUUCGUUAGCAAGAAACAGGACUGAGCCCUAAUCGAAGGAUUGGAGAGGUGAUGUGGUGAUUCCGGCCACCACAGAUUGAUUGGAUUAGUUCUUCCACCGGAGUUGUGAUCAUCUCCGGCGAUAGAAGAAGUAGAGGACCUUGAUUUAUACGAGCAGCGUGACUUGGGGUGGUUCUGUUGAUUGCGGGAUAUAUCGAGGCGGGUAUUUCUUCCUUAAGUUCUAUUUAGUUCUUUGAACUUUAAAAGCAUGGUUAUAUUUGGACAAGUAGGUUGCAUUCCUUAAAUCAGAUUAUUUGUUAUUUUCC